GACGAACCGUGCGAACGUUGUUCGGAAUCACUGGGCGUAAAGCGCACGUAGGCGGAUCUUUAAGUCAGGGGUGAAAUCCCGAGGCUCAACCUCGGAACUGCCUUUGAUACUGGGGAUCUCGAGUCCGGGAGAGGUGAGUGGAACUGCGAGUGUAGAGGUGAAAUUCGUAGAUAUUCGCAAGAACACCAGUGGCGAAGGCGGCUCACUGGCCCGGAACUGACGCUGAGGUGCGAAAGCGUGGGGAGCAAACAGG
rnacentral:rRNA from 1 species